CAGAAUGUGGGGUGCCUGGCACCUCUUAACGCGCUUCGCCUCUGCGACCAAGGGCCACGGCUUGCUUCUAGGCAACCUGAGAGGCCUCUGUGGGGAGCAGGGAUGCCAGACCCACCCAGAGAAACAGGGGGUUACCUGGAGCCCCUCCACCGUGCAACUCGGCCCCUGGGAAAUAGAGGCAAAGUGUUUGGGCUGCCUGCCUGUUGACAUAGGGGACAAGGAGAUCUGCCCUCUCUCACUACUGGAGAGAGGGAGGGAGGAGGAGCUGGGAUCUCCCAACCGCACACAUGCCCUGGAUAGUGAAAGGACCCCCUGAAAUAGGAACGAAUAGCAUCCUCAUCACACCGAGGAGGAAAUGGAAGCACAGAGAGGUAAAGUUACUUGGCUAGGGUCCCCAGCUAGUAAGUGGCAGAGCUCUGGAAUCUAAGCUCCUCACAGGUAACCAACAGGAAGUCUCCAGCAGAGGGUCUGGCUCCCAGAAUGUGUUCCAGGCACGGCUGAGGAUAUGAUGAUGGCAGUUGCUAUUACCUCACCUGAA